CGGGUGAGUAACGCGUGGAUAACCUGCCUCACACUGGGGGAUAACAGUUAGAAAUGACUGCUAAUACCGCAUGAGCGCACAGUACCGCAUGGUACGGUGUGAAAAACUCCGGCGGUGUGAGAUGGAUCCGCGUCUGAUUAGCCAGUUGGCGGGGUAACGGCCCACCAAAGCGACGAUCAGUAGCCGACCUGAGAGGGUGACCGGCCACAUUGGGACUGAGACACGGCCCAA
rnacentral:rRNA from 1 species